rnacentral:rRNA from 1 species
AUGGAUACAGGCGCGUCUAGCUCGGGCUUCAAAACCGAUCUGGAAGCCAUGAUGAAGGAACUAGGGCUCAAUGAGGAAACCCUGGAAGAUGUGAUCAUUGAGGAGGAGGAGUUGCUGGCUGAAGCUACUAGGUGGAUGGCCAUGGCACGCGUCCACACAAACAAGACGUAUAGUCAGUACUAGUUCUUCCGGAAUAUGCGAGUGGCCUGGGAUUUGGCACAGGAGGUGAAGAUUAGACCACUUGAAGAAAAUCUUUACACGCUACAGUUUUCGUGCCUGGGUGAUUGGGAG